UCCGGUUGAUCCUGCCGGACCCCACUGCUAUCGGGGUGGGACUAAGACAUGCUAGUCGUGCGCCUCCAAGCCACGGUGGAGGCGCGGCGCACAGCUCAGUAACACGUGGCUAACCUACCCUUGGGACAGGGACAACCCCGGGAAACUGGGGCUAAUCCCCGAUAGGUGAGGACUCCUGGAAUGGGUCCUCGCUGAAAGGGCGUCUAGACCAUGCUUCUAGACGCUGCCCAAGGAUGGGGCCGCGGCCGAUCAGGUUGUUGGUGAGGUAACGGCUCACCAAGCCUAAGACCGGUACGGGCCGUGAGAGCGGGAGCCCGGAGAUGGACACUGAGACAAGGGUCCAGGCCCUACGGGGCGCAGCAGUCGCGAAACCUCCGCAAUACGCGAAAGCGUGACGGGGCCACCCCGAGUGCCGUCCGCUGAGGACGGCUUUUCCCCAGUGUAGACAGCUGGGGGAAUAAGGGGAGGGCAAGUCGGGUGUCAGCCGCCGCGGUAAUACCCGCUCCCCGAGUGGUGGGGACGCUUAUUGGGCCUAAAGCAUCCGUAGCCGGCUGGACAAGUCCCCUGUUAAAUCCAGCGAUUUAAUCGCUGGACUGCGGGGGAUACUGUCCAGCUAGGGGGCGGGAGAGGCCGGCGGUAUUCCCGGGGUAGGGGUGAAAUCUUAUAAUCCCGGGAGGACCACCAGUGGCGAAGGUUGCCGGCUGGAACGCGCCCGACGGUGAGGGAUGAAAGCUGGGGGAGCGAACCGGAUUAGAUACCCGGGUAGUCCCAGCUGUAAACGAUGCGGGCUAGGUGUUGGCACGGCUACAAGCCGUGUCAGUGCCGCAGGGAAGCCGUUAAGCCCGCCGCCUGGGGAGUACGGCCGCAAGGCUGAAACUUAAAGGAAUUGGCGGGGGAGCACCACAAGGGGUGAAGCUUGCGGUUUAAUUGGAGUCAACGCCGGG
rnacentral:rRNA from 1 species